UACGUAGGGGGCUAGCGUUGUCCGGAAUCAUUGGGCGUAAAGAGCGUGUAGGCGGCCCGGUAAGUCCGCUGUAAAAGUCAAAGGCUCAACCUUUGAAUGUCAGUGGAUACUGCCGGGCUAGAGUCCGGAAGAGGCGAGUGGAACUCCUGGUGUAGCGGUGGAAUGCGCAGAUAUCAGGAAGAACACCAACGGCGAAGGCAGCUCGCUGGGACGGUACUGACGCUGAGACGCGAAAGCGUGGGGAGCGAACAGGAUAGAA
rnacentral:rRNA from 1 species